UCAAGCUACUAAGGGCAUACGGCGGAUGCCUAGGCGCCAUCAGCCGAUGAAGGACGCGGUAAGCUGCGAAAAGCUACGGGGAACUGCAAGCAAGUAUUGAUCCGUAGAUGUCCGAAUGGGGAAACCCACCUGCCGUCAUGGGCAGGUAUCCGAAAGGAAGGGAACCCGGGGAACUGAAACAUCUAAGUACCCGGAGGAAGAGAAAUCAAACGAGAUGCCCACAGUAGCGGCGAGCGAAGAGGGCAGAGGGCAAACCGGGGAGCUACGGCUCUCCGGGGUUGAGGACUGCAUUUAGUCUUAAUGGUCUAUCCGAACUACCUGGAAAGGUAGGCAACACAGUGUAAAAGCCACGUAGGUUAAAGGCCAGAGAGAUGAGCAGUAUCCAGAGUACCACGAGGCACGAGGAAUCUUGUGGGAAGCCGGGGGGACCACCCUCCAACCCUAAACACUGAAUGGCGACCGAUAGCGCAUAGUACCGUGAGGGAAAGGUGAAAAGAACCCCGGGAGGGGAGUGAAAGAGAACCUGAAACCGUAUGUCUACAAGCAGUCGGAGCGAAAGCGACGGCGUGCCUAUUGAAGAAUGAACCAACGAGUUACGUGCACUAGCGAGGUUAAGUGGAAGACACGGAGCCGAAGCGAAAGCGAGUCUUAAGAGGGCGGAUAGUUAGUGUACGUAGACCCGAAACCGCAGUGAUCUACCCAUGUCCAGGUUGAAGCGCAGGUAAAAUUGCGUGGAGGACCGAACCUGUGAGCGUUGAAAAGCUUUAGGAUGAGAUGUGGGUAGAGGUGAAAUUCCAAUCGAACGCGGAGAUAGCUGGUUCUCCCCGAAAUAGCUUUAGGGCUAGCCUCAAGUAGUAAGUAUAGGCGGUAGAGCACUGAUCGGGCUAGGGGCCAUAAAGGUUACCGAACCCUGUCAAACUCCGAAUGGUUAUACUGUAGAGCUUGGGAGUCAGACUACGAGUGAUAAGAUCCGUGGUCAAAAGGGAAACAGCCCAGACCACCAGCUAAGGUCCCCAAUGUCGUACUAAGUGGAAAAGGAUGUGGGGUCUCUAAAACAACCAGGAUGUUGGCUUAGAAGCAGCCACCAUUUAAAGAGUGCGUAAUAGCUCACUGGUCGAGAGACCCUGCGCCGAAGAUUACCGGGGCUAAAGUACGAAACCGAAGCUGUGGCUACGACAUAUGUCGUGGGGUAGGGGAGCGUUCUGUGAGGGCUGAAGUCGUUCUGUAAGGAACGGUGGACUUCACAGAAGUGAGAAUGUUGGUAUGAGUAGCGAAAAGAAUGGUGAGAAUCCAUUCCACCGAAAGCAUAAGGAUUCCUGGGCAACGAUCGUCGUCCCAGGGUAAGUCGGGACCUAAUCCGAGGCAUGGAGCGUAGGAGAUGGACAACUGGCAGAUAUUCCAGUACCGGUAAUGAUUGUUUGAGCGAUGGAGUGACACAGGAGGGCAGGCAGGCAGGAGAUUGGUUGUUCCUGUACAAGCGUGUAGGAUGGGACGCAGGCAAAUCCGCGUCCUGUGAGUCUGAGGCGUGAUGUGGAGGUUCCGGAAACGGAACUGAAGCUGCUGACCCCACACUGUCGAGAAAAGCUUCUAGUUAGAGAAUUACCGCCCGUACCGUAAACCGACACAGGUAUGCGGGGAGAGAAUCCUAAGGUGCGCGGGAGAACCCUCGUUAAGGAACUCGGCAAAAUGUACCCGUAACUUCGGGAUAAGGGUAGCCGCUGUUGUGAAGUCUGCACAGACGGAGCAUGAGGCGGUCGCAGAGAAGAGGCCCAAGCGACUGUUUACCACAAACACAGGUGCCUGCUAAAGAGAAAUCUGACGUAUAGGUGCUGACACCUGCCCAGUGCCGGAAGGUUAAGGAAGGAUGUCCGGAGCAAUCCAAAGCAUUCGACCGAAGCCCCGGUGAACGGCGGCCGUAACUAUAACGGUCCUAAGGUAGCGAAAUUCCUUGUCGGGUAAG
rnacentral:rRNA from 1 species